UCAAAUCCCAUUCGAUCUCGAUUUCAGAACUGUUCAAAUCGAUUGCUCUUGAUAAUCAAAAACAGAUCGAUCGAAUUGAUUGUGGCAUCAUGGCGGCAUGUUUGCUACUGAAAAUUGAACAUCGUGUGCAGCUUCGAUUGCGUGAUACUUCAAAUUCAGCUUUGUUUAAUGGUGGUUAAGAGUAACCAGAAUAACAAAAAUGUUAAAUGAAAUGGGGAUUGAAAUGUGGGAGGAUGAAACUUGCUGCCAUGGAUUUGAAAAAAUGUUUUACAGGAAAGAUCAGCCAAGUAGGAAUACUUGGCUGGUAUUUCAGCAACCAGAACACAUCCCCUGUUCCACACAUAGAGCUAAUAAUAUAAUGCAGCUAUCCACCUAAAAUUCAAAAUCAGUUCACCGUGAGCUUCAAUUUAAGUGUAAUUAUGAAGCAAAUGGACUCCAACUUAGAUCACUUAUUAGUAGUACUUUGCUUAUAACUUCAUUCAUGUUGAAUAUGCAUGGUUCAUGAUUGAUGUUGACCAAAACAAGAGAUCAUAUUUUUACGUUGACAAAUCUUAUUAAGCCACAUAUAACACAACAGGGAUCCAAGAGAAUGAAUCCAACAGACACAUGAUGAUGCCAUCCUUUUACCUUCAGCUGAAUACGUUUGGUAAUAAACAUUUCGAUCGCACCGACGCACUCAGGAGAAGAUUGUCGAUGAAAUUCCUAAGUACAAUGAACUUUUGCAAUUGUUGGUCGCUGUCGAGCACUGGGCCACGCUGUGCCAACAGUACCAAAUAGUACUUCGAAAGGAAAACGCCUCCACCUUAGCAACCGUGUCUUUACCGUGGAUAAGUUCAGUAAAUCUCAUCUGUAGUGGAGAAAAACGGAUAAUCUACUUCUUCUUUUAUUCAGUACUGAGUAACGUGAGAAACUCACUCACUGGAAGGCUCCCAAAACACGUAUUGUUGAAUAUAAUGUUCGCAUCAUCGCCAAACACUACACUGGUGUGACGAUGAAAAGGAUGGCUGCUCUCUUCGACUUUGCUGUUGAAGAAACAGAAGAAUUUUCUUCUAAUUUGGUUUCCAGUAAAACUGUAAUGUCAUGCGUCGAGGCCGAACCAAUCUAUAUGAGAAAUACUUGUCCGAUUUUUAAAAUUCGUUUCAGGAGAUUACAGUGUUCGAUUACGCCUGA